rnacentral:lncRNA from 1 species
AUAAGGAGAAAAAUGUGUGUACAUUAUUGAAAAAUGUGAAGAGAAUGGAGAUGGAGGAAGACCUUGCUCAGAACAAUUGUUUAUGGGGAUGUGUAGAAGAUGAAAAUGAUAAGGUUGGGAUAGUGAUGAAGGAUGACUGAAGAUUAGUCUUGAGUUUAAAAGAAGAAAUGAGGUAUGAGAUUGCAUGCAUAGAGACAAGGAUGUGUGUUAGAAUGAAAUUAUGGUGUGUAAGAGAAGAUGAAUGUCUUAAAAAGAUUGAUGGUGUUAGAAGAUAUGUAUGUCUAAGAAUGAAGUGAAAAGUAUUUUGUAACAAAAAAAAAUAUGUGAGUAUUUAUUAAAUGAUGGAUAGAGAAAGUGAGUGCAAAAAGAAAAUUAAAAAAAUAAGUGGAGAAAGUAGGUUGAAAAAUUAAUUUUAAAAGUGAGUGCAAAAAUAAAAAAUUUAAUGGAGAAAUUAGGUGGAGAAAAAUAAUAUAAAAAAUUGGUGGAUAAAUAAAAUAUAAUUUGAAAGAGUAAAUGAAAGAAAUAAAAAAAAUAAUCUAGAAAAUAUGUGGUGAAAAGUUAAUAUAAAAAGUGGUGGAGAAAUUAGACGAAGAAAGUAGAUUAAAAAAAAUUGGUGGAGAAAGUAUAAUUUAAAAAGAAAGUGAGUAGAAGAAAUAAAAAAAGUUAUUGGAGAAAAUGGGUUCAUAAAAGAUAAUAUAAAAAAGGGUAGAGAAUUAGAUGGAAAAAAUAUAAUUUAAAAAAUAAGUGAAA